CGAAUAUGUAUCUUGGGAAGAACUACGUUUAGUGUGAGAACUUCGGUCAGAAGAAGAGUAACGUUCUGAAACAAACAUCAAAUUGAUACUAUUAUUUUAGUGUGUUCAGUAUAAGUCAUGGCGAGAUUCAGUUCAAUAUUCGUCUUCAUUUCAUUAAUCGGUUUACUUUGGUGUAAAGUGAUUGAAGAUAACGAAAAAUUGGUACCUUCAAAUUCAACUGAACUUCCACCUUCGACUAGAGGUGCACCACGACCAAGGCUGUGGCUGAUUAAUGGGUGUAUGUGUGUUUCUCCAUAUACUUGUUGGGGUAUCAGGAACAGUUCUAGUGCAGCUGAACAAGGAAUUAAACUAGUUUAUUGUGAUGGUGUACCUGGUACGGUCCUAUGCUGCGGACCUCCUGAACUGGUGUUUUCAAUUUCAAAAGAGCAAAAGGCAGAGGUAGAAAAGAAAGGUGAAUUCAAAAUUAUGGGGCCAUCAUUCGGUUAACAUUCCAAGAACUCGCGGUGUAUGUAUUCGAUAUAUUUUUCAAUGUAAGUACAUGUCAUAAAAAUUAAUCAAAAAUAGCGAAAAAUACACGAAUAAAAUGAAAAAUCUAAGAAAA